UGGGGAAUAUUGGACAAUGGGCGCAAGCCUGAUCCAGCAAUGCCGCGUGGGUGAAGAAGGUCUUCGGAUUGUAGAGCCCUUUCGGUGGGGACGAUGAUGACGGUACCCGCAGAAGAAGCCCCGGCUAACUUCGUGCCAGCAGCCGCGGUAAUACGAAGGGGGCUAGCGUUGCUCGGAAUGACUGGGCGUAAAGGGCGCGUAGGCGGUUUGCACAGUUGGGGCGUGAAAUUCCUGGGCUUAACCUGGGGCUGCGUUCAAUACGUGCAGACUUGAGUGGGGAAGAGGGUCGUGGAAUUCCCAGUGUAGAGGUGAAAUUCGUAGAUAUUGGGAAGAACACCGGUGGCGAAGGCGGCGACCUGGUCCUUGACUGACGCUGAGGCGCGAAAGCGUGGGGAGCAAACAGGAUUAGAUACCCUGGUAGUCCACGCUGUAAACGAUGUGCGCUGGAUGUUGGGGAGCCUAGCUUCUCAGUGUCGCAGCUAACGCGAUAAGCGCACCGCCUGGGGAGUAC
rnacentral:rRNA from 1 species